rnacentral:misc_RNA from 1 species
CCGAGUUUACAACUCCCAAACCACUGUGAACAUACCACUUGUUGCCUCGGCGGAUCAGCCCGCUCCCGGUAAAACGGGACGGCCCGCCAGAGGACCCCUAAACUCUGUUUCUAUAUGUAACUUCUGAGUAAAACCAUAAAUAAAUCA